CACAGAAAAAAAAGCCGCCCAAAGAAAAAAAAAAAAAAUCGAAGAAAAAGUAGAAAGAAAAUAAUCUCUUAUGAUGCUGUUUUUUUUCUUUAUUUUUCUUGCUGGUUUUUCAAUUAAUCUCAGGACCAGGUAAUUACGCCAUCAUUUCUUAAACGCGCCAUACAUCUCCAGGAUUAUCUAUAGCCUUGAGAUCACCCCCUUGUAAUUCCUGAGUUCAACAGAUUUAUUGCGCAUUUAAUACCAUCGGGAUCUGGGAGGUGUUGUGUGUGUGUGUGUGUGUGUGUGUGUGUGUGUGUGUGUGUGUGUGUGUGUGUGUGUUUGUACCAUAUGUAGUUGUUUUUGUUUAGGUAAUUGUGCUAUUUUUCAUUUAAUAUUGUUUUUUCUUCUUGCAGGUCAGUGUAACAGUUUUCAAUUAACCUGUAGAUGAUGAUGAGGUGGUAAGUGAAAGAAGAACUCAUUAACCUGCGGACGAUGCUGGCGGGCUGAGUAACGGGCGCGUCUGUGUGAGUCACGCUGGAUCAAAACGAAAAUGCAGUAUUCAGCCAAUUUAACCAAUUUAAUUAAUGUUUACACGCAGUCACGAGAGAGAGAGAGAGAGAGAGAGAGAGAGAGAGAGAGAGAGAGAGAGAGAGAGAGAGAGGAAAGCUGCUAUCAUACUAUCACUGAAAGAAAACACUAAUAUUAUAAAUCCAGUAAAAAUAAUGUGAGAAACUUCUAAAGUGAAAUUACACUAGAAAAAAAUAAAUAAAUAAAUACGCAAAAAAAAAAAAAAAAAAACAUCAGGUGAGGCAAGGUCAGCGUCUUUUCAUUUAAAGUUAAUGCAGGUGAGGGAGGAACGCGGGGAGGUUAGCAUCCAAUUCAUCUGGGAAAUGUGUCCUAACCUGAGGAAUUUUGCAGCUUAAUCCCAGCAUUCUUCCCGGCGAGACGUGGCAUUAGGGCAGAUGAUGAGCCUCGUUGGUCGUGUAGGGGCGAUGAUUGCCUCUGAUUGCACCUGCCUCACUGCAAUUUAGAGAGACAGAAGGUGUAUUGAAGCUGCAUCGUUACCAGAAAAAUAAGAGAUUAGCUGUCACAGUACACACCUUUGGGAUGUAAUGCAAAUAACACGUUACGAGGCCUAAAUAUCGGAUAGGUUACCAUUUUUAUUACUUAGACUCGCAAAUUGUGUGCCUCACUCUAAUCUCACCUGCGUAAAUUGAAUUAUAGCUGAAUACCUGGUGUGGGUUUCUUCUUAUCGUGAUGAGGGUGGGGGAGAAGAAUGCUGAGAUGGUGGCCAGUGUGGUGAGGUUGUGAUGAGUCGGUGGUGAGUGUGGUGAGGUGUGAUGACUGUGGUGAGGCUGUGAUGCGUUUGGUGAUGCACUGGUGAUGAGGUCGUGAAGAAGUUGUAUGGUGAGACUUUUGAGUGUACGUUGGUUAUGAUGAACGUGAUGAGGUUGUAAUGAGGGUGUCGUGGAUGUGGCGAGGUGAUAAGACUGUGAUGGGGGCAUGACGAGGCUGUAGGUUGUGAUGUCAUUGUGGUGAGGUUGUGGUGAGUGCGGUGAGGCUGUGAUAAGGGUGUAGUGAGUGAAGUAUGGUGUGCUUUGAGUGGUGAGGGUGUAAGUGUAGGCGUUGUGUAUUUGUGUGUUGCAAUGUGGUAGUGUUCCUGUGAAAUAUAUGCAAAAAAAGUAGUGUAUUGUGAACGAAAAACGGUUGUGUAGAAAUUAUAGACAGACUGUAUAAAAAGUGAAGAAAAAAACACAAAGGAAUAAGGAAAAUGUAAAAAGCAGGAAAUAAAUGAAGAAAUAAAAGAUAAUAGAAAAGAAGACAAAAAGAGAGAGAGAGGAAGGAGUGGGAGAGGGAAGAUUGGAGAGACUGAGGAAUAGAAUGAGAAAGAUAGAGAGGAAAUGAAUAAAGAAAAGAAAAAGAUGAAGGUUGAGUCACCAGAGCUAACCUUUUUAUCUCUAAAUGUGCUGCCAAUUGGAGCUUUUCUUAUCGUGUAAUAAAUCUCUAUUGCUUUAU